GUAGUACUCCCUCCGUCCCAAAAUUCUUGUCUUAGAUUUGUCUAGAUACGGAUGUAUCAAGUCAUGUUUUAGUAUUAGAUACAUCCGUAUCUAGACAAUUCUAAGACAAGAAUUUUGAGACGGAGGCAGUAAUAA
rfam:Triticum aestivum genome assembly, contig: Triticum_aestivum_CS42_TGACv1_scaffold_576850_7BL